rnacentral:rRNA from 1 species
UACGGAGGAUGCAAGCGUUAUCCGGAAUGAUUGGGCGUAAAGCGUCCGCAGGUGGCUAUGUAAGUCUGCUGUUAAAGAGUGAGGCUCAACCUCAUAAAAGCAGUGGAAACUACAUGGCUAGAGUGCGUUCGGGGCAGAGGGAAUUCCUGGUGUAGCGGUGAAAUGCGUAGAUAUCAGGAAGAACACCGGUGGCGAAAGCGCGCUACUGGGCCAUUACUGACACUCAUGGACGAAAGCUAGGGGAGCGAAAGGG